rnacentral:rRNA from 1 species
UACGUAGGGACCAAGCGUUGUUCGGAUUUACUGGGCGUAAAGGGCGCGUAGGCGGCGUGGUAAGUCACUUGUGAAAUCUCUGAGCUUAACUCAGAACGGCCAAGUGAUACUGCUGUGCUAGAGUGCAGAAGGGGCAAUCGGAAUUCUUGGUGUAGCGGUGAAAUGCGCAGAUAUCAGGAGGAACACCAAUAGCGAAGGCAGCUCGCUGGGACGGUAUUGACGCUAAGGCGCGAAAGCGUGGGGAGCAAACAGG